UGAACACGUGAAGAUGAUAGAUCAAGACUGCGGCAUUGGAGGCCAGUUCGGGGCUACUGAGGGAGUCCGGGACUAAGGGGUCCUCGGCCGAUUACCUAUUUCUAUGGGCCGGACUCCUGGGUCGUUCUAUUAUCAUUAUUGGACUCUAAAUAACUAAAGUGAUGUUGUAUUCAAGACGGACUCUUUCGAAGGCUUGACGUGUACCCUACGACUAUGUGGUAAUCGGCAUGUUUCCUCCCUGGUGUAACCAACGUUGUGU
rnacentral:lncRNA from 1 species